rnacentral:lncRNA from 1 species
AUAGAAUUUUUAAUUUUUGGUGUUCACAUGUUUAUUGCUAGCACAUAGAAAUAGAUUUUUGUAUGUUGAUCUUAUAUCCUGAAAACUUGCUAAACUCACUUGUUGGUUCUAGUUUUUUUGUAAAUUCCUUCAGAGUCUAUAUGAACAACCAUGUCAUCUACAAAUAAGGACAGUUGGAUUUCUUCCUUUUGAUCAUAUGCCUUUUGUUUCUUUAUCAUGCCUUAUUGCACUGACUAGAAGUUUCAGCGCCGUGUUGAAUAAGGGUGA